ACAUGCCUACAACGUAGCAUUAAUGCACCAGAUCCCAUUAGAACUCCGCAGUUAAGUGCACUCAGGCUAGAGUAGUAUUGGGAUGGGUGACCACUCAGGAAGUCCUAUUAUUUUGCAUGCC
rnacentral:rRNA from 1 species